rnacentral:rRNA from 1 species
UNUGACUUGAGUGCAGAAGGGGAGAGUGGAAUUNCAUGUGUAGCGGUGAAAUGCGUAGAUAUAUGGAGGAACACCAGUGGCGAAAGCGGCUCUCUGGUCUGUCACUGACGCUGAGGCUCGAAAGCGUGGGUAGCGAACAGGAUUAGAUACCCUGGUAGUNCACGCCGUAAACGAUGAGUGCUAGGUGUUAGGCCCUUUCCGGGGCUUAGUGCCGGAGCUAACGCAAUAAGCACUCCGCCUGGGGAGUACGACCGCAAGGUUGAAACUCAAAGGAAUUGACGGGGGCCCGCACAAGCGGUGGAGCAUGUGGUUUAAUUCGAAGCAACGCGAAGAACCUUACCAGGUCUUGACAUCCCGAUGCUAUUCUUAGAGAUAGGAAGUUACUUCGGUACAUCGGAGACAGGUGGUGCAUGGUUGUCGUCAGCUCGUGUCGUGAGAUGUUGGGUUAAGUCCCGCAACGAGCGCAACCCUUAUUGUUAGUUGCCAUCAUUAAGUUGGGCACUCUAGCGAGACUGCCGGUAAUAAACCGGAGGAAGGUGGGGAUGACGUCAAAUCAUCAUGCCCCUUAUGACCUGGGCUACACACGUGCUACAAUGGUCGGUACAACGAGUUGCGAGCCGGUGACGGCAAGCUAAUCUCUGAAAGCCGAUCUCAGUUCGGAUUGGAGGCUGCAACUCGCCUCCAUGAAGUCGGAAUCGCUAGUAAUCGCGGAUCAGCACGCCGCGGUGAAUACGUUCCCGGGCCUUGUACACACCGCCCGUCACACCACGAGAGUUUGUAACACCCGAAGUCGGUGAGGUAACCUUUUAGGGNCCA